UUUGAUGGCGACCGGCGCACGGGUGAGUAACACGUAUCCAACCUGCCGAUGACUCGGGGAUAUCCUUUCGAAAGAAAGAUUAAUACCCGAUGGCAUAGUUCUUCCGCAUGGUGGAACUAUUAAAGAAUUUCGGUCAUCGAUGGGGAUGCGUUCCAUUAGGUUGUUGGCGGGGUAACGGCCCACCAAGCCUUCGAUGGAUAGGGGUUCGUGAGAGGAAGGUCCCCCCACAUUGGAACUGAGACACGGUCCAAACUCCUACGGGAGGGCAGCAUG
rnacentral:rRNA from 1 species